rnacentral:rRNA from 1 species
AACGAACGCUGGCGGCAGGCCUAACACAUGCAAGUCGAACGCUCCGCAAGGGGAGUGGCGCACGGGUGAGUAACACGUGGGAACCUACCUUCUGGUACGGAACAACCAAGGGAAACUUUGGCUAAGACCGUAUACGACCUCCGGGUGAAAGAUUGAUCGCCGGAAGAGGGGCCCGCGUCCGAUUAGGUAGUUGGUGAGGUAACGGCUCACCAAGCCUUCGAUCGGUAGCUGGUCUGAGAGGAUGACCAGCCACACUGGGACUGAGACACGGCCCAGACUCCUACGGGAGGCAGCAGUGGGGAAUAUUGGACAAUGGGCGCAAGCCUGAUCCAGCCAUGCCGCGUGAGUGAUGAAGGCCUUCGGUUGUAAGUAC